UCAAUUGUUUACAGCAGGCCGGCCCAACCUUUUUCGUCUCGCGGGCCACUUUCAAGUGACGAAAAUCGUUGCGGGCCGCAAACGUUUGUACCAAACAUUAAUACCAGCUACGUCCUGAUUUCGGUGUAGGUAAUUUACAUAAUAAAUAAAAGGUACCGGUUACUGAGUAGGGCUGGCAAAUUAUUCGAAAAUCUAGUCGAAUAUCAAAAUAGCACUUUACAAUUCGAAUAUCUGGUAACACGGGGCGUGGACAAUGUUUAAAUGAGCAUAAUGUGCGCCACUGUUGCGUGAAUAUCAAGUUUAAAGUAGGCCGUUUCGUAAAAUUUGAAACACCAAUACAAAUAUUUAAUGAAGUAACAUUACAAAGAUUUCUGGGCGAAUAGCCUAUAUACAGGAGUUCCAUCGAUCUGGAACCCAAAAUAAGGACGACUGAAAAAUUUCUGCAUUGUGAGCAGAAAUAGCUGGCUUUCCUAUGAGCUCCAGGUUAAUGUCACAAUUACAGACGUCACAGUGUGCGAGGCACUCACACUUCAAGCUUCGUUUAACUUUGAAUUCUUUCCCGUACUCACGAAAAAAGGAUCGCCACACUAACAAUGCUUCAUGCCUAUCUGUGCCUUGCUUCUUUGUGUUCCAAUUAAGAUUGUGUUACUUUUAUGAUGCCACAAUAUGAGUCCAAAUAAGACAAAAUAAGGACACGCAAGACAAAAAUAAGGACGCAAGCUAAAAAUAAGCCAAAAAUAAGGACAAACCUUAGAAAUAAGGGCGGUAUGGAAUCCCUGCCUAUAUAUACUGAUUCGUGACCAAUAUGCAGCAAUGCCAUUAAGUCAAUUUUAUUAGAAUAUUUGACGGAUACGAAGUGACGAUAUUUCCGAAAUCUUAUUUAACUCAAAAAUUUGAUAAAAAAAAAAUACAAACAUAAAAUGUCAAUGAGUCCCAGGACCAGUACCAAAGAUAUUGUUUAUAUUGCGCAAAAAACAGUUCGGCGAGCCGCAUGCUGGCCAGGGAUUAGGCAGCCUUGGUUUACAGUGUCAAGUUGUGGUAGUGGUCUUCUUAUGUUUAAUAAAGCCUAGAAUCGGUAUCCUGUUAUCUUUCAUAACACUACCAAAAUGCAGUACCACCCAAAUCGAAGCAACAACUUUUUUAUUAUUUCAGUGCAGUGUUUUUGGUGUUAUACCUCAUUUUUUGUGGAGUUUGCUCGUUAAAAGAAGCCUAGCUUGAUUAUGCAUGGAGUAUUUGAGGGGCUCCAUACGCGAGAGAAACCUAGAGGAGACAAACUGUCCAAAGAAGUAAUAACGGUAUAUUGAAAAUUUGACAACGGUAGCAUCAUCGUAAUGUGGCAACAACGCGGCAAUUCAAAGUCAGUAGUGCAAACUGGGAAAGGAAAACAAGAGACAUCAUCAGACCCAAAGAAGCAGAGACACAUGUGCUAUAAUGUGGCGAACAGUUCACCAUUCAUAUAUGCAUGGAAAUGGGUCAAUAGUCUUGUAAGAUGAUAUUUAUGACGUCAUUAUUAAUUCUAUACUUGGGUCGCAAGUAACAGUGAGGGAAAGAAUUAGGGUAGUGGUGAUACAUUACAAGUUAGCGAUAAAGUUUAAUUGGUAUGCAAAGUGACUCCGAUGAAGAUUUGGUGGAUAAUGAAUGCAUCUUGGUAUUGAUGUUAGGCCAGGUUCAGGUCUCGCUAGUCCUGAGAUGUUGUAUCAAUAUGGUGGAGAUGGUCACAAAACUUAAUAUGGCUUUUAUUGUUGCAUAUGUGAUACUUGCCUUAAUAUUUUAUUCCAUGUAUUUGAGUCCUGGUUCUUAACCGAUGAAUAUCUAAUUACAAAAAUUGAAUUAUUCUUUUUGAUAUGCGAGCUUUUGAUAAUUGUCAAAUCUCUGGACCAGCCCAGACCGGUCAUGCAAACUGACACUCACAAAUGUUGAUUAACCAAUUAAUAUAUAUAGAUAUUUUUUUGUUAAAUUAAAAGUGUCAUAGAGUUGAAUCUGUUUGUGAUAAUAAAAUCUCUCUC